rnacentral:rRNA from 1 species
GUACGCUGGCGGCACGCCUAACACAUGCAAGUCNAACGAAGUAGCAAUACUUAGUGGCAGACGGGUGAGUAACAUGUGGGUAUCUACCCUUUGGCCUGGAAUAACACGAGGAAACUUGUGCUAAUACCGGAUAAGUCUUUACGGAGAAAGCUUUAUGCACCAUUGGAUGAGCCUGCACUUGAUUAGUUUGUUGGUGGGGUAAUGGCCUACCAAGACUGUGAUCAAUAGCUGAUUUGAGAGGAUGAUCAGCCACAUUGGGACUGAGACACGGCCCAAACUCCUACGGGAGGCAGCAGUGGGGAAUCUUGCACAAUGGAGGAAACUCUGAUGCAGCGAUGCCGCGUGAGUGAAGAAGGCCCUUGGGUUGUAAAGCUCUUUCGUCGGGGAAGAAAAUGACUGUACCCGAAUAAGAAGGUCCGGCUAACUUCGUGCCAGCAGCCGCGGUAAUACGAAGGGACCUAGCGUAGUUCGGAAUUACUGGGCUUAAAGAGUUCGUAGGUGGUUGAAAAAGUUGGUGGUGAAAUCCCAGAGCUUAACUCUGGAACUGCCAUCAAAACUUUUCAGCUAGAGUAUGAUAGAGGAAAGCAGAAUUUCUAGUGUAGAGGUGAAAUUCGUAGAUAUUAGAAAGAAUACCAAUUGCGAAGGCAGCUUUCUGGAUCAUUACUGACACUGAGGAACGAAAGCAUGGGUAGCGAAGAGGAUUAGAUACCCUCGUAGUCCAUGCCGUAAACGAUGUGUGUUAGACGUUGGAAAUUUAUUUUCAGUGUCGCAGCGAAAGCGAUAAACACACCGCCUGGGGGAGUACGACCGCAAGGUUAAAACUCAAAUGAAUUGACGGGGACCCGCACAAGUAGUGGA